rnacentral:sRNA from 1 species
UUCCUUUUUAUUUUAUUUUACUUUAUCCGAAAUUAAUUGGAACUCAAAAGAACCAUUUAUGAGGAAUAUUGUGUUUUUUUUUGUCAUCCGAAAUAAAUUAGAGCUCAAAAGAGUCAUUUCUAAGGAAUGUUGUUUUACAUAAGUGAUAUGAUGCGGUUGGACACGAAUUUUACGCACCAAAAUAUCCGCUUUGACAUUUGCACUAGUAAAAAUUAAAGAUAAAGAAAAACUUGUGAAUUCUUUAGGAAUGAUCGAAAAGAAAUAUGGCGUAGGGUAAAUGUGAAAAUAA